AAUCUAGGCCACACCACCCUGAACGUGUCUGAUCUCUUCUGAUCUUGGAAGCUAAGCAGAGUUGGGCCUGGUGAGUAGUUGAAUGGGAGAAAGCUCUUUAAAAAACCAAGUUCCAGGGUUA
rnacentral:rRNA from 1 species